UAAAGAACCAAUGAUGUCCGGGUGUCAGACUCUGCAGAGAAGAUGGAACUGGAAGACGUCCUGAUGUCUGGACAAGAUGAGGAAGACAAGGAAAGACGUCAUUCAGAUAGCAAAGUAUUUUGAUCUAAGUUUACAUCUGACAUGAAGAGAAAAUAUUCAGUGGAAAUAUCACAUUCGGUAAUUUUUUAGGUACUUUAAUUAAGAGGAAAGAGAAGAAGCCGCAGAACCUACUGACCCAAAAAUGUCCAUUAAACCGAAGGAGCUCCUAGGGGAAAUAAAGAAUUGGUCCAAAGAAAAGACUUGAAAACAAAUAAGUUGUUAAAGGUUAGAUACUUUGUGAGCAUCGAGAAGAAUAGAAGAAAGAGAGAGAAAUGAGGAUCCGGGGCUCAUACAGAUCACAGAAUGGAUUAGAAUUAGAAAAAAUAUAUGUAUAAGACAAAUGGGAAUCUGAUAGAAGGUUAAUAUCUACAUAUCUGAAUUAUCUGUUACAGAAAUUGCAUGUCUUACCACAUUUGGGGCAUAUGGUGGCCAGAUUUUGUAGGGGAAUGAAAAAUGAACCGACUUAAAUGGGUACUUGGGCCCUAAGACAUCUUAUCCCCUAUCCAAAGGAUAGGGGAUAAGAUGUGUGAUCGUAAUCUUUCAUGAAGCACCCCGCUAUCAUCAGCCUCCGGAGCGAAAAUCACUCCAGGUUUGAUGAAUCACGAUCACGGGGUCAGAGUAUCACGACGUCACGGCUCCGACCCGUGUGAUGUCACGCUCAGCCCCCUCAAUGCAAGCCAAUGGGAGAGGGCGUGGUGGCCAUCAGGAUUGGGACAGGGAGUGAAUGUGAUGUCACGAGCCUCCGGCGCUGCAUCCGUUGUUCUAAACGAAUGCCAGGUGCAGCUGAAGAAUGAUCAGACAUCUUAUUAUCUAUCCUUUGGAUAGGGGAUAAUAUGUCUAGGGGUGGAGUACCCCUUUAAGUCACUAGCUGACUCUGGUCAACUCUUUGAAAUAAAUGGGGUACGACAUGGGGUUGUGAAUACACGAUUAAAUUAUGUUCAAUAGACCAAACCCUUGAGUCAGCAGACCUAGAGAUAUAUAACGUCUCUUAGAUAAUGACCUAUCCCUAAAAGCUAUACUUUUUGAAUGUACUUCAUUACAUCAAUUAUUAAAACAAAUGGCUUCCUAGAAGAAACUCAUAUUCGCUUGUGACCAAGUCAUUACAAGAUUACUAAACAUAUGGCCAAUUAGACAAACUCUUAUUCUGUCUAACCAUUGUUUGAUUGGUCAUAUGUUUAGUCAUCUUUCAAUUGCUUUGUCAUGAGUGAGUAGGAGAGUCAUGAAAGAGGUUAUAUAAACCAAUUUAGUGUAAUGUACACCAUCAGAGACUUGCUAUACCUGAUGAAGCAGUUGGUACUAAGAAACAUGUUCAGGAGGCUUCUUUAAAGGGUAUUUAACGACUUAAGGACACAUUCCAUUUUGACCUUGAGGACACAGCCAAUUUUAAUUUUUACAUUUUCCCUUUUUCUCUUCACUUUUUAGGAGUCAUAACCCUUAUAUUUUUUUCCCAUUAACAGAGCCAUAUGAGGGCUUGUCUUUGUGCAACCAAUUGUACAUUGUAAUGACACCUUUCAUUCUACCAUAAAAUGUACAGUAAAGCAAAAUACAAUAUUAUUUUUGGGGGGUAAUUAGUACUUUUUACGUAGUACACGUCAUGUUUAUAUCUCCUCUAUUGGUCAAAACUUUUUGACUGAAUGAGUAUACUUAAAAUUGACCUAUUCUGAACCCUACAAUUUUUUUUCCAGUGAAUGAGGAGGGCUUUUUUUUUGAGCUGUAAUCUGUAGUUUUUAUCGGAGCUAUUUUUGU